rnacentral:tRNA from 1 species
AAGGAUUUAAGUUAAAAAAACUAAUAGCCUUCAAAGCUAUCAUUAGAUGUGUAUCUAAGCCUUA